UGUAUACUCUGAAUAUUCUCAACAUUAUCACCCAAUGGCGAAAUGGCAACUCGAGACAUCUGCUCGAUCUAGUGGAGACGGUACUAUUUAUGUCCGUUUCCACAGUAUUUUUCGUUGGCGUGCAUGAGACGGCUUCGGAAGCAAUGACGCAAAUGGAGCGAGGUCUUCGCGCGAACGCUCAGUCCAAUGUCCAACAGAUCUUCAUGCAUUUGAACAGACUAACAUUAAGACCAGUUUCGUUUUCCGUUGGAGGAUUCUUCCCGAUAAAUCGGGCUUUUAUUGCGACGCUUUUUGGUGGUAUCGCGGCGUAUGCAAUCGUUAUCUGGGAGCUGGGCGACAAAGGCAUAUCCAAUAGCGAUAUUGAAAAAAUUUCCGAUCUAAUUACCGCUCGAUUCUUGCAUGGGCAUAAUAUCUCGAAUCUCACUUUACCAUAAUCCCCAAUAUAUUCCGAACAUUCUUCAGUGCCAGUUAUGCUUCGCUUGCUUUGCUAUUUGUUUUAUUCGUUUUCGCAUUUAACAGAAUGCAGUCUACUGUAG